rnacentral:rRNA from 1 species
UACAGAGGGUGCAAGCGUUGUUCGGAAUUAUUGGGCGUAAAAACGCGUGUAGGCGGCUUUGCAAGUCGGGUGUGAAAUCCCUCGGCUCAACCGAGGAAGUGCGCCCGAAACUGCAGAGCUUGAGUACCGGAGAGGAUGGCGGAAUUCCCGAAGUAGAGGUGAAAUUCGUAGAUAUCGGGAGGAACACCGGUGGCGAAGGCGGCCAUCUGGACGGAUACUGACGCUGAGACGCGAAAGCGUGGGGAGCAAACAGG